rnacentral:rRNA from 1 species
UACGAAGGGGGCUAGCGUUGCUCGGAAUCACUGGGCGUAAAGCGCACGUAGGCGGCUUCUUAAGUCAGGGGUGAAAUCCUGGAGCUCAACUCCAGAACUGCCUUUGAUACUGAGGAGCUUGAGUCCGGGAGAGGUGAGUGGAACUGCGAGUGUAGAGGUGAAAUUCGUAGAUAUUGGGAGGAACACCAGUGGCGAAGGCGGCUCACUGGACCGGAACUGACGCUGAGGCGCGAAAGCGUGGGGAGCAAACGGGG